AUUUAUAGGCUAAGCCAAGUAAAUAAAAAGAAAAAUAAAAUCUCUUAAUUUAAUUUGUAAUUACAGAAAAAAUAAAUUAAAAAUUAAAAAAUUAAAAACUAAUUUUCUAAGUAAUAUAGAUUUAGUCUUCUCUUUUAAUUAAAAGAGAUUGUGACCAAAUUAAAAGGGAGACAUAUAGAAAUAAAUUAAAAAUUAAAAGCUAAUUUCCUGACUAAGAUAAAUUUAGUCUUCCUCUUUAAUUAAAAGAGAUUGUAAUUAAAUUAAUUAGGAGACAUAUGAAAAUUUAGGGUCAGCCAUAAGAUCUCCUUUUUAGCCUAUUUCCUCCUCUUUCUUUGGAUUGUACCUUCUCUUUCUGGUCCAUGUCCAUGUUCACAUCAUCCCCUCCCUUUUCAAAAAUGAUUCGUCCUCGAAUCGGACACUUCUUAUGCAAGGGUUUCAACAAUCCUAUUUUCUUUGAGAAAAUGUCAUGUAAAACAACAUUAUUUAACAAAGAAGGUUUGAGGUGAGUUAAUAAUUUUUUCUUGAAAGAU
rnacentral:lncRNA from 1 species